UGCUCUGAUUAUUAUUGUUUCCUAAAUGGAUUGAUCUUGCUGAAAUUAAUAAGUGUAUAUAUGUGAUUUGAUAGGAACUUGAGGCACAAGCUUGUGAAAAUGAGAAUGAGGUCAUCGAAAUCAAUGGUUCUAGUUUAAAUGUAACCACCUCAUCCCAAGCUAAUGAUGAUCCCAUGUAUUUAAAGUUAUGGGAGAAGUCAAAGAGGCAUAAAAAUGGGAAGUUUGACGAUGAGGCCGAGGAGAAGUCAUGGAGUGUGAUACUUGAUAGAGUUUGCAGUUAGGGGAUCAAGUCAAUGUUUUGGGGAUGGAGGACACCAAAAGGCUGGUUGCAAGGAUGAGAAGAUUGCUUGAUAGACAACUUGGUUAAUACUUUUGUAUAUAUUUGGUAUUAAAUAUUAUUAAAUAUUUGCUAUUAUAGAAAACUUGGUUAAUACUUUUGUAUAUAUAAUGACAAAAUUAAAAUUUAUGCCUA